CCCUCCUCUCCUGCUUACUUGCUGAAAGAGAAGAGGAGUGGAGCCCUGUUUGCUGCCAUUUACCAGACCAGCUCCUGUAAUCUGGUGAUACUUGCUACCAGAUCCUAUCCUCCUGUCUGAAGCCCUGACCUCUCUGGAAUCUGGGAAAUAACAAGAGGUCCUCUGAUGAAUGUUGCUGAUCGCCAUGGUUACGGUUCUGAGAUGCAGCAAAGAGCAAUUAUGGUGGUAGAGAAGAAGGAAAUGCACCUCUUUGUCAGAAUUUCAUAGCAGCUGUAACAACAUGAGAGCACCCAAAUGAAUGCAGAAUAACUGAAAUAUUGUGACAUGUUAAAUGCCAGCACAUUAAAAAAUUGUAUUUCAAUGUC
ensembl:lincRNA